UGGGGAAUAUUGCGCAAUGGGGGAAACCCUGACGCAGCAACGCCGCGUGAAUGAUGAAGGCCUUAGGGUUGUAAAGUUCUGUCUUCUGGGACGAUAAUGACGGUACCAGAGGAGGAAGCCACGGCUAACUACGUGCCAGCAGCCGCGGUAAUACGUAGGUGGCAAGCGUUGUCCGGAUUUACUGGGCGUAAAGGAUGCGUAGGCGGAUAUUUAAGUCAGAUGUGAAAUACCCGGGCUCAACUUGGGUGCUGCAUUUGAAACUGAAUAUCUAGAGUGCGGGAGAGGUAAGUGGAAUUCCUAGUGUAGCGGUGAAAUGCGUAGAGAUUAGGAAGAACACCAGUGGCGAAGGCGACUUACUGGACCGUAACUGACGCUGAGGCAUGAAAGCGUGGGGAGCAAACAGGAUUAGAUGCCCUGGUAGUCCACGCCGUAAACGAUGAAUACUAGGUGUAGGAGGUAUCGACCCCUUCUGUGCCGCAGUUAACACAAU
rnacentral:rRNA from 1 species